rfam:Salmo salar isolate Sally breed double haploid chromosome ssa12, whole genome shotgun sequence.
AAAUAAAAUGUAUGAAAUAAGUCGCUCUGGAUAAGAGCGUCUGCUAAAUGACUAAAA